GUUUGAUCCUUCUUAGCUUCCUGGUCUCUUGGAAGAUUAAGUAUGUCGGUAUGUGGGCGAUAUUGCAUUUUUAUUAGUGUGUCAGGAAAUUGAUUCGUGAUUGUGCUAUGAGGAUUUAGUAGUUUAUAUAGUUCAUUUAUUACGCUCUCUCGUGUAAUCGCCUAAUUAUAUUUAUCGAUUCGUGUACGGAUGAGCAACGUCAUAUCAACUUCGAUUUAUCCCUUCAAGGCAUCGCGUGGCCACAAAACCUGAUAUACAAAAUAACAAAUAAUAUUAUGAUAUAUGAUCGUGUUUGAUAUAUAUGAUAUUGAAUUCAAUAUUACCCAAUAGCUAGUUAUUAGAUAAUAUUGAAUAUCACAUUUGAAUUUUUAAUUCUAUCAAGAACAUAAUUGUAACUCUCUAUUAUAAUUGCACUCACUUUCCUUGUCCAUUCUACUCCAAAAUUACACCCCAAACGACAAUUUCAUAUUUAUCUCCACCGAAUAUCAAUAUUCAACUGUAGUCAAUAUAGCAAACGUCAGGAGGAAUAUGAUGAGCCCACAUGAGAAACAAAAUAAAGGCAACAAUGAACCAAAUUAUCAUCUGAAAUUACUAUUCUGCAAAUAAAUAAAAACGUUACUUAUUCAACCGAAGUGUUAACCUUUCUAACCUCACUCGCUCUAUGCUCUCAAAACGCAGAACCAAACGACACCCUAUUCACAGUAAAUUAAACCACCGACAGCGCCAAACGUCCCAUCCGUUCAACUGUUAGCCAAACCGCCGGCGGCUGCCAAUAAUAUGAACAGUCGCCGUCCACUCCAUUGAAGAUAACCUCCUCCGACCAUCUCCGACCAUCACCCCUGGUUCCCGGUACGACGCAUCUGUCAUCAAACUCCGUUUGCCUAGAUUUGUCUUUCCUAAACAAGCAAUAAGUAAACAAAUCUCCAGAUAUUUUUUCCCUUUUUGUCUUUCCCAAAAGAACAUUUCACUUUCAACCCGUCCUCCUCUUUUCCCCAUUCUACUAUUUUUUUUUAAUUGCACUACGAGUCUCUCAUUAGUAUAUAUAACAGUCUCUCUUCCGUUUCUAUAUGCAUAGUUGAUAGUUCAUCUUCCUCUUUAAUUCAUAACACAUUAUAUGCAACUUGAUUCUUCUGCAGGCCGUAUACACUUAAUAAUCUUAACAACACGGAGAAUUAAGUAAAAAUGGCUUACCAGUAUGAACAUCAUCUUGUGCUGAUGCUCCUUGUUCUGAUCAUAUCCACUUCCGGUUGCCAGUCAUGGGGAUGGUUCUCUUCUUCUUCCGGGGAUGAUUCCGGAAAUGAUGAGUACCGUUUUUCUGGGGCGGCGGUGGCCGAUUUUUCAUUGGAUUUUCCUGCAGAUAAUAAAGGAUUAGUAGAAAAGGCAAGGAACAAGCUAGUUGGUUCCAACACUUGCUGGCAGAAUGCUUACCACCACAUCUUUACCGGAUGCACUCAAAUAAACGCCAACGAAGACAAACGCAAGAGAUUCGCUUGGCAUCUAAGCGAUUGCUUCCAGAAGGAUUCUGGGAGGCAGCCUUUCCCCAACUGCGACGAGAAAUCUGCCAUCUUCCAUUGCCUGAAGAAGUUGGACGAUCAUGAACACAAGGUUUAUCUCGAGUUUUUCACUGAAACCAAUUCCAUCUGCUACCAACUACAGGUGCAUGCAUUCAAACACGAGACGGAGAGGCUGGUGAAUGAGCUUAAAAGUUCAGCGCAAUACACUGAGCAACAACUGGAGACUAUUAAGGACAGAACGGUCACGGUACUGCACAACUCGAAUCAGAUCCACGAUUCGUUGAGUUCGGUGGAUGAUAAAGUUCAGCGCGUGAUUCAGACGAGUAAAGGAGUGGAGGUUCAGAUUGAUACCUUGUCUAAGCAGUCUGACGCUGUUUAUAAACAAUCGGAGGAUAUCAUUAGGUCACAGACGGAACUGCAAGCGGGACAAGAAAAGAUGAAUGAGAAUUUGAAACAAGGGGUGACGAUGCUUCAAGAUGCUUACAGUAAUUUGGGGGAGGAAGUGAGCAACCUGAGGAAUGAGGCUGUUCAGAUAGAGAAGCAGAUUGAUAGAGUUGGGGAAUCGAUGUCUUCAAAGUUUCGGAAUCUGCAGAGCAAAGCUGAUGAUAUCGAAAACAUGGCGGGGAGUUCGUUGAGCAAGCAACAACAACUUCUGGAUGGACAGUCCACAGCGCUUAAAGGUCUCGAUAGCUUGACGGAAUCU
rnacentral:lncRNA from 1 species